rnacentral:rRNA from 1 species
UACGGGGGGGGCAAGCGUUGUUCGGAAUUACUGGGCGUAAAGGGCUCGUAGGCGGCCAACUAAGUCAGACGUGAAAUCCCCAGGCUCAACCUGGGAACUGCGUCUGAUACUGGAUGGCUUGAAUCCGGGAGAGGGAUGCAGGAUUCCAGGUGUAGCGGUGAAAUGCGUAGAUAUCUGGAGGAAUACCGGUGGCGAAGGCGGCAUCCUGGACCGGCAUUGACGCUGAGGAGCGAAAGCCAGGGGAGCAAACGGG